rnacentral:lncRNA from 1 species
GAAAUCAGAGAGGAAGCUCAAGUACGCACUGCUGCUUAUCAGCAAAAGCAGCUCAGUACUACAACCAGAAGGUUAGGGAAAGGAGCUUGAAAGCUGGAGACCUGACCCUAAGAAGAUUAGAAGUGAUGAGGAAGAGAGCAGCAGUGGAAAAAUUGGCACCAACUUGGGAAGGCCCCUUCAGAAUAACUAAAGUCAUCAAGCUUGGGGUAUACCGGAUUGAAGACCUGUA